rnacentral:rRNA from 1 species
UACACUCCUGCGGGAGGCAGCAGUGGGGAAUAUUGGACAAUGGGCGCAAGCCUGAUCCAGCCAUGCCGCGUGAGUGAUGAAGGCCCUAGGGUUGUAAAGCUCUUUCACCGGUGAAGAUAAUGACGGUAACCGGAGAAGAAGCCCCGGCUAACUUCGUGCCAGCAGCCGCGGUAAUACGAAGGGGGCUAGCGUUGUUCGGAUUUACUGGGCGUAAAGCGCACGUAGGCGGACUAUUAAGUCAGGGGUGAAAUCCCGGGGCUCAACCCCGGAACUGCCUUUGAUACUGGUAGUCUUGAGUUCGAGAGAGGUGAGUGGAAUUCCGAGUGUAGAGGUGAAAUUCGUAGAUAUUCGGAGGAACACCAGUGGCGAAGGCGGCUCACUGGCUCGAUACUGACGCUGACGUGCGAAAGCGUGGGGAGCAAACAGGAUUAGAAACCCUAGUAGUCCCAUGAU